UGCAAGUCGAGCGCUCUCCUUCGGGAGGGAGCGGCGGACGGGUUAGUAACGCGUGGGAACAUACCCUUUUCUACGGAAUAGCCUCUGGAAACGGAGAGUAAUACCGUAUACGCCCUUCGGGGGAAAGAUUUAUCGGUUAAGGAUUGGCCCGCGUUAGAUUAGAUAGUUGGUGGGGUAACGGCCUACCAAGUCGACGAUCUAUAGCUGGUUUGAGAGGAUGAUCAGCAACACUGGGACUGAGACACGGCCCAG
rnacentral:rRNA from 1 species